rnacentral:rRNA from 1 species
GACGAACGCUGGCGGCGUGCUUAACACAUGCAAGUCGAACGGAAAGGCCCUGCUUUUGUGGGGUGCUCGAGUGGCGAAAGGGUGAGUAACACGUGAGUAACCUGCCCUUGACUUUGGGAUAACUUCAGGAAACUGGGGCUAAUACCGGAUAUGAGCUCCUGCUGCAUGGUGGGGGUGGGAAAGUUUCGGCGGUUGGGGAUGGACUCGCGGCUUAUCAGCUUGUUGGUGGGGUAGUGGCUUACCAAGGCUUUGACGGGUAGCCGGCCUGAGAGGGUGACCGGCCACAUUGGGACUGAGAUACGGCCCAGACUCCUACGGGAGGCAGCAGUGGGGAAUAUUGCACAAUGGGCGGCAGCAUGAUGCAGCAACGCCGCGUGCGGGAUGACGGCCUUCGGGUUGUAACCCGCUUUCGCCUGUGACGAAGCGUGAGUGACGGUAAUGGGUAAAGAAGCACCGGCUAACUACGUG